rnacentral:rRNA from 1 species
CAGCCGCGGUAAUACAGAGGCCCCAAGCGUUAGGCGGAAUCACUGGGCUUAAAGCGUGUGUAGGCGGAUCGUUAAGUGUCUUGUGAGAUCCCACGGCUCACCCGUGGAACUGCUGGGCAUACUGGCGAUCUUGGGCCAAAUAGGGGCAGUCGGAACAAGCGGUGGAGCGGUGAAAUGCGUAGAUAUCGCUUGGAACGCCGAAGGUGGAAACAGACUGCUGGGGUUGUGCCGACGCUGAGACACGAAAGCCAGGGGAGCAAACGGGAUUAGAUACCCCGGUAGUCCUGGCCCUAAACGAUGUCCACUAGAUUACGGCGCCUUUGACGGCGUCGUGGUCGAAGCAAAAGUGUUAA